rnacentral:rRNA from 1 species
AUUGAACGCUGGCGGCAGGCCUAACACAUGCAAGUCGGACGAGCGGCGGACGGGUGAGUAAUGUCUGGGAAACUGCCCGAUGGAGGGGGAUAACUACUGGAAACGGUAGCUAAUACCGCAUACCAUCGGAUGUGCCCAGAUGGGAUUAGCUGGUAGGUGGGGUAACGGCUCACCUAGGCGACGAUCCCUAGCUGGUCUGAGAGGAUGAACAGCCACACUGGGACUGAGACACGGUCCAGACUCCUACGGGAGGCAGCAGUGGGGAAUAUUGCACAAUGGGCGCAAGCCUGAUGCAGCCAUGCCGCGUGUAUGAAGAAGGCCUUCGGGUUGUAAAGUACUUUCAGCCGGGAGGCGUUACCCACAGAAGAAGCACCGGCUAACUCCGUGCCAGCAGCCGCGGUAAUAC